rnacentral:tRNA from 1 species
UGAUAUCGAUGCUGGCGCACAAAAAUGGAAAAUGAAAUUCGAAUCCGAUGAUUAUGAUUA